rnacentral:rRNA from 1 species
GACGAACGCUGGCGGCGUGCUUAACACAUGCAAGUCGAACGGUAAGGCCCUUGGGGGUACACGAGUGGCGAACGGGUGAGUAACACGUGGGUGAUCUGCCCUGCACUUCGGGAUAAGCCUGGGAAACUGGGUCUAAUACCGGAUAGGACUCCGGACUGCAUGGUCUGGGGUGGAAAGCUUUUGCGGUGUGGGAUGGGCCCGGGGCCGAUCAGCUUGUGGGUGGGGUGAUGGUCUAACAAGGCGAAGACGGGUAGCUGGCCUGAGAGGGUGACCGGCCACACUGGGGCUGGGAUACGGCCCAGACUCCUACGGGAGGCAGCAGUGGGGAAUCUUGCACAAUGGGCGCAAGCCUGAUGCAGCGACGCCGCGUGAGGGAUGACGGCCUUCGGGUUGUAAACCUCUUUCAGCAUCGACGAAGCGAAAGUGACGGUAGGUGCAGAAGAAGGACCGGCCAACUACGUGCCAGCCGCCGCCGUAA